UGAAUUGCAGGACACAUUGAGCAUCGACGAUCUGAACGCGAAUUGCGGCCUCGGGUUAAUCCCGGGACCGCGCCCGCCUCAGGGUCG
rnacentral:rRNA from 1 species